CCUACGGGAGACUGCAGUGAGGAAUAUUGGUCAAUGGGCGGAAGCCUGAACCAGCCAAGCCGCGUGCGGGAAGAAGGUACAACGUAUCGUAAACCUCUUUUGUCAGGGAACAAAGCCGCUUACUAGUCCCCGGUUGAGUGUACCUUAAGAAAAAGCAUCGGCUAACUCCGUGCCAGCAGCCGCGGUAAUACGGAAGGUCCGGGCGUUAUCCGGAUUUAUUGGGUUUAAGGGGAGCGCAGGCCGCCCCUUAAGCGUGUUGUGAAAUGCCGCGGCUCAACCGUGGCACUGCAGCGCGAACUGGCGUGCUUGAGUGCGCGGAAGGCAGGCGGAAUUCGUGGUGUAGCGGUGAAAUGCUUAGAUAUGACGAAGAACCCCGAUUGCGAAGGCAGCCUGCUGUAGCGGAACUGACGCUGAUGCUCGAAGGUGCGGGUAUCGAACAGGAUUAGAUACCCGUGUAGUC
rnacentral:rRNA from 1 species